GACACCGUAGGAAAGUGGACGAUUUAAACUUGACUGUACCAUGCUCUUGACCAUAAAGCUGCCCCAGACGAAGGCUGUGAGAACAUCUGAAGGAUUCAUGUGGGUGCAGGGGAACCCAGACCAGAGUUGAACCCAGAGCCUAGCCCCAGACCUGAUUCCCAGCUGGAGCAGUUGACAGCCUCGGGUCUUGCCCUAGGAUCUUGGAAGAAGGAUCUGUGAAGGAACCUGCAGAUGACAGCAGCUUCUCGCUGUCCCAGGAGGUUCUCCGGCACCUGCGGCAGGAGGAAAAGGAAGAGGUUACUGUGGGCAGCUUGAAGACCUCAGCGGUGCCC
rnacentral:lncRNA from 1 species